rnacentral:lncRNA from 1 species
UUUUCAUUUCUACCCUUCUUACACUCACCUAAUUUUUCACACAUCACAAAACUUGCUUCUAGAAAAUUUUUAAAAUCAAAGUUUGCAUUAUGGAAAUUUUUAAAAUCAAAGCUUUCAUCUUAAAAGCUUUAAAAUCAUGACUUUCAAAAUGAACAAACAACUCAUUCAUGAAAAGAUUUGAACUAUAGCAAACCUUAACAAUAUACAGUCAUCUAAAAUUCUUGAUAGAUAGAGCUUAUUGAUGUCUGAGCCUUAAAGUGAAACUAUUUUUCUGGUGCUUGAUCUUGGGGAGAACACAAAUGAAGGGAAAACUUGAAUCGAAAGGGAAUGCAUCUUGAUCCUGUUUAUGUGAUGUGUAACAAUGCAGAUGAAUCUAUGCUCCAUCUUUUUCUGCAAUGCAAUUUUGCCAGUCAGAUAUGGGAGAUGGUUCUGAGUCCUUUGUGUAAUUCGAAGCCCGACUCAAGGUCUGCAACAGGGGUUCAAAGGUGGCUGGAGAGUUGGCCUGCUGUACACCUUCACAACUUGGUGCUUAACUAUGGGAGUUGGCUCCGUAUGCGGUUAUUUGGGCAAUAUGGAAGGCUCGAAACGAGAAGAUUUUCAAGGGUAAAUUCAGGAAUGCACAAACGGUAUGUCUGGAAGCGAAAUGGUAUCUCUGGUAUUGGCAUUCUUGCUCUGUAGUCAGAAGGGGACAUAACUUACAUUAGCUGCUCCUGGACUAGGAUGCACAUGUAAGGGGAAGGUAGAAGUAGGAGUUGUAAACUUGUAAUUGCUUUUUUUUGUUUUUUUCUUGUAUCCCAAGUGAGUUCCUAUCUCACCUUGAAACCUCUUUCAUUUGUUCAUCAAUCAUCAAUAAAGCUUUGAACUUAUCAAAAAAUGUCUGAGCCUUAA